AGUGAACGCUGGCGGUAGGCCUAACACAUGCAAGUCGAACGGCAGCACAGUAAGAGCUUGCUCUUACGGGUGGCGAGUGGCGGACGGGUGAGGAAUACAUCGGAAUCUACUUUUUCGUGGGGGAUAACGUAGGGAAACUUACGCUAAUACCGCAUACGACCUACGGGUGAAAGCAGGGGAUCUUCGGACCUUGCGCGAUUGAAUGAGCCGAUGUCGGAUUAGCUAGUUGGCGGGGUAAAGGCCCACCAAGGCGACGAUCCGUAGCUGGUCUGAGAGGAUGAUCAGCCACACUGGAACUGAGACACGGUCCAGACUCCUACGGGAGGCAGCAGUGGGGAAUAUUGGACAAUGGGCGCAAGCCUGAUCCAGCCAUACCGCGUGGGUGAAGAAGGCCUUCGGGUUGUAAAGCCCUUUUGUUGGGAAAGAAAAGCAGCAGGUUAAUACCCCGCUGUUCUGACGGUACCCAAAGAAUAAGUACCGGCUGACUUCGUG
rnacentral:rRNA from 1 species